AUUGAACGCUGGCGGAAUGCUUUACACAUGCAAGUCGAGCGGCAGCGCGGGGCAACCUGGCGGCGAGCGGCGAACGGGUGAGUAAUGCAUCGGAACGUACCCUGUCGUGGGGGAUAACUACCCGAAAGGGUAGCUAAUACCGCAUACGACCUGAGGGUGAAAGCGGGGGACCGAAAGGCCUCGCGCGAUGGGAGCGGCCGAUGCCGGAUUAGCUAGUUGGUAGGGUAAAGGCCUACCAAGGCGACGAUCCGUAGCUGGUCUGAGAGGACGACCAGCCACACUGGAACUGAGACACGGUCCAGACUCCUACGGGAGGCAGCAGUAAGGAAUAUUGGUCAAUGGAGGCAACUCUGAACCAGCCAUGCCGCGUGCAGGAUGACGGCCCUAUGGGUUGUAAACUGCUUUUGUACCAGAGAAAACCUACUCACGUGUGAGUAGCUGAUAGUAUGGUAAGAAUAAGCAUCGGCUAACUUCGUGCCAGCAGCCGCGGUAAAGUAG
rnacentral:rRNA from 1 species